rnacentral:rRNA from 1 species
CAGCCGCCGCGGUAAUACGAAGGGUGCAAGCGUUAAUCGGAAUUACUGGGCGUAAAGCGUGCGUAGGCGGUGAGUUAAGUCUGUUGUGAAAUCCCCGGGCUCAACCUGGGAAUGGCAAUGGAUACUGGCGAGCUAGAGUGUGUCAGAGGAUGGUGGAAUUCCCGGUGUAGCGGUGAAAUGCGUAGAUAUGCGGAGGAACACCGAUGGCGAAGGCAGCCCCCUGGGCCAACACUGACGCUCAUGCACGAAAGCGUGGGGAGCAAACAGGAUUAGAUACCCCUGUAGUCCCUGUCUCUUAUAC